rnacentral:rRNA from 1 species
UCUGGUCUUGGGACACUGUCAGGUGGGCAGUUUGACUGGGGCGGUCGCCUCCCAAAAGGUAACGGAGGCGCUCAAAGGUUCUCUCAGUACGGUCGGAAAUCGUACGUAGAGUGUAAAGGCAAAAGAGAGCUUGAUUGCAAGACAUACAGGUCGAGCAAGGAUGAAAAUCGGACUUAGUGAUCCGGUGGUUCUGCGUGGAAGGGCCAUCGCUCAACGGAUAAAAGCUACCCUGGGGAUAACAGGCUUAUCUCCCCCAAGAGUCCACAUCGACGGGGAGGUUUGGCACCUCGAUGUCGGCUCAUCACAUCCUGGGGCUGUAGUAGGUCCCAAGGGUUGGGCUGUUCGCCCAUUAAAGUGGUACGCGAGCUGGGUUCAGAACGUCGGGAGACAGUUCGGUCCCUAUCCGUCGCAGGCGUAGGAAAUUUGAGAGGACCUGUCCUUAGUACGGGAGGACCGGGAUGGACGUACCUCUGGUGUACCAGUUGUCCUGCCAAGGGCAUGGCUGGGUAGCUAUGUGCGGAAUGGAUAAGCGCUGAAAGCAUCUAAGCGCGAAGCCAACUUCAAGAUAAGAUUUCCCACCGCAAGGGUAAGACCCCAGAAAGACUAUCUGGUUGAUAGGUCGAAGGUGUAAGUGCAGCAAUGUAUUUAGCUUAUCGAUACUAAUAGGUCGAGGACUUGACCAAUAUU